rnacentral:rRNA from 1 species
AUAAUAAAUAGUUUAUUAAAAGUAAACUUGAAUGAAGGAUUGAAUGAGAUAUAAACUUUAUAAAAAUUAAAUAAUAUUAGAAUUUAUUUAUUAAUUAAAAAAAAUUAAUUGAUUUUAAAAGACAAUAAGACCCUUUAGAAUUUUAUAUUUAUAUAAAUUAUUUUAUAAUAUUUUUAUAAAAAUUAGUUUAUAAAAAUAUUAUGAUGGGGCAUUAACAAAAUUUAAUAAAAUUUUGUUAGAUUUUAUUAAACAAUUUAAUAAUUGAAUUGAAUUUAUAUAGUUGAUCUUAAUAAGUAAAUUAUAAGAAAAAAUUACCUAAGGGAUAACAGCGUAAUUAUUUUGGAUAGUUCAUAUUGAUAAAAUAGUUUGC